rnacentral:rRNA from 1 species
UACGAAGGGAGCUAGCGUUGUUCGGAAUCACUGGGCGUAAAGCGCACGUAGGCGGAUGUGUAAGUCAGGGGUGAAAUCCCGGAGCUCAACUUCGGAACUGCCCUUGAUACAGCACGUCUUGAGUCCGGAAGAGGUGGGUGGAAUUCCUAGUGUAGAGGUGAAAUUCGUAGAUAUUAGGAAGAACACCUGUGGCGAAGGCGGCCCACUGGUCCGGUACUGACGCUGAGGUGCGAAAGCGUGGGGAGCAAACAGG